rnacentral:rRNA from 1 species
CCUACGGGACGCACCAGUAGGGAAUAUUGCACAAUGGGCGCAAGCCUGAUGCAGCCAUGCCGCGUGUGUGAAGAAGGCCUUCGGGCUAUAAAGCACUUUCAGCGGGGAGGAAGGCGGUGAGGUUAAUAACCUCACCGAUUGACGUUACCCGCAGAAGAAGCACCGGCUAACUCCGUGCCAGCAGCCGCGGUAAUACGGAGGGUGCAAGCGUUAAUCGGAAUUACUGGGCGUAAAGCGCACGCAGGCGGUCUGUCAAGUCGGAUGUGAAAUCCCCGGGUUCAACCUGGGAACUGCAUUCGAAACUGGCAGGCUAGAGUCUUGUAGAGGGGGGUAGAAUUCCAGGUGUAGCGGUGAAAUGCGUAGAGAUCUGGAGGAAUACCGGUGGCGAAGGCGGCCCCCUGGACAAAGACUGACGCUCAGGUGCGAAAGCGUGGGGAGCAGACAGGAUUAGAUACCCUCGUAGUC